GGAGAGGUGGCAGAGUGGUCGAUCGCGCGCGCUUGGAGAGCGCGUGACUCGCAAGGGUCCCAGGGUUCGAAUCCCUGCCUCUCCG
rnacentral:tRNA from 1 species